CGUUUUAGUGGCGGACGGGUGAGUAACGCGUGGGCAACCUGCCUUACACAGGGGGAUAACACUUAGAAAUAGGUGCUAAUACCGCAUAAGCGCACAGGGCCGCAUGGCCCGGUGUGAAAAACUCCGGUGGUGUAAGAUGGACCCGCGUCUGAUUAGCUUGUUGGCGGGGUAGGGGCCCACCAAGGCGACGAUCAGUAGCCGGCCUGAGAGGGUGGACGGCCACAUUGGGACUGAGACACGGCCCAAACUCCUACGGAAGGCAGCAG
rnacentral:rRNA from 1 species